AUGUGUGUGGAUUACCGUCAGCUGAAUGAUGACACAAUCAAAAACAAAUAUCCACUGCCAAGGAUUGAUGACCUGUUUGAUCAGAUCAGUGGGGCCAAGGUAUUCUCCAAGAUUAAUUUACGGACUGGAUACUAUCAGCUCAAAAUUAAAAAGGAGGAUAUUCCUAAGACCGUGUUCACCACUCGAUACGGUCUUUAUGAAUAUACAGUUAUGUCUUUUGGUCUCACCAACGCCCCUGCCUUCUUCAUGCACAUGAUGAAUAAGGUAUUCAUGGACUUCCUCGAUAAGUUCGUGGUAGUCUUCAUCGAUGAUAUACUCAUUUACUCAAGAAGUGAAGAAGAACACAAAGAACACCUUCGAGCAGUGUUACAAAGACUCUGU
rnacentral:rRNA from 1 species